CACGUGUUCGAAUCCCUGCUUCGUCCGGUGCGGCGAGACUGGGGAAGGAAGGAGGGAGGCAGAGACGAGCCGGACACGGAGGAGGGAAGGCGUGUGGAGGUGAAGGAGGGGAAGGAUCUGAAGGAGGAACACUUACCAUAACCACAACUACCACCACCACCGCUACCAUCACCACCACCACCACCACCGCUACCAUCACCACCAUCAUCACCACGAGUCUGCCAAGAGCGAUGCAGUGGGAGGCGGAGCGGGAGAGGGAGAGAGAGAGAGACGCCCGCGGGGUACGACAGAGAGAGACAAGAGGAGGAGAGGAUGAACGCGAGACGGAGAGGAUGAAGUAAGCUCACGACCUGCACUGCUGCCUGGAUGGAGAAACCUUGCACACUGCCGUCGGAGUCAGCACUUGUCAUUCACUCUGAAAAGAUAGGUAGCAUUUUUAGAUGGUGGUGACCUGCGCUGUCAUGUGUAUGCUGUGUACACUGAAAUAUAUAUAUACUUAAGCCAAAGCCAGACGUUUCUUUCUUUUACAACCUGUUAUCUGGUGUAUCUCCAGAAACUGUUUAAAGUAUCAUUGACUUGGUAAAGGUGAUGUUGGGAUCUUGCAUUAGUUAUGUAUAAUUCCAUGACAAAUCACAUCGACGUCACUUAACUUAGUCAUGGAAGUUAUGAAGGAUCUACACAAGUGGCUUGAGAGCUGCUGUAAUUCUUAUGUUAAAUGGACAGUAAAUCCAAACUGUUAUAUCACUGCUAUUUCAACUCACUAAAUAAAGGA